UACGGGGGGGGCAAGCGUUGUUCGGAAUUACUGGGCGUAAAGGGCUCGUAGGCGGCCGCUUAAGUCAGACGUGAAAUCCCUCGGCUCAACCGGGGCACUGCGUCCGAGACUGAAUGGCUUGAAUCCGGGAGAGGGAUGCGGAAUUCCAGGUGUAGCGGUGAAAUGCGUAGAUAUCUGGAGGAACACCGGUGGCGAAGGCGGCCAACUGGACGAAUACUGACGCUGAGACUCGAAAGCGUGGGGAGCAAACAGG
rnacentral:rRNA from 1 species